CUUUAUAGAGUUUUAAAUCUGGCUCAGGACGAACGCUGGCGGCGUGCCUAAUACAUGCAAGUCGAGCGGACAGAAGGGAGCUUGCUCCCGGAUGUUAGCGGCGGACGGGUGAGUAACACGUGGGUAACCUGCCUGUAAGACUGGGAUAACUCCGGGAAACCGGAGCUAAUACCGGAUAGUUCCUUGAACCGCAUGGUUCAAGGAUGAAAGACGGUUUCGGCUGUCACUUACAGAUGGACCCGCGGCGCAUUAGCUAGUUGGUGAGGUAACGGCUCACCAAGGCGACGAUGCGUAGCCGACCUGAGAGGGUGAUCGGCCACACUGGGACUGAGACACGGCCCAGACUCCUACGGGAGGCAGCAGUAGGGAAUCUUCCGCAAUGGACGAAAGUCUGACGGAGCAACGCCGCGUGAGUGAUGAAGGUUUUCGGAUCGUAAAGCUCUGUUGUUAGGGAAGAACAAGUGCAAGAGUAACUGCUUGCACCUUGACGGUACCUAACCAGAAAGCCACGGCUAACUACGUGCCAGCAGCCGCGGUAAUACGUAGGUGGCAAGCGUUGUCCGGAAUUAUUGGGCGUAAAGGGCUCGCAGGCGGUUUCUUAAGUCUGAUGUGAAAGCCCCCGGCUCAACCGGGGAGGGUCAUUGGAAACUGGGAAACUUGAGUGCAGAAGAGGAGAGUGGAAUUCCACGUGUAGCGGUGAAAUGCGUAGAGAUGUGGAGGAACACCAGUGGCGAAGGCGACUCUCUGGUCUGAACGACGCGAGAGGAAGCGGA
rnacentral:rRNA from 1 species